GUGUCGGCACCCUGAUCGCCGAAGGCAAGGAAGUGAAGGAAUUCAACGGCGAGAAGUACAUCAUGGAGACCGGCCUCGUCGCCGAUCUCGCCAUCGUGCACGCCUGGAAGGGCGAUACCGCGGGCAACCUCGNNNNNNNNNNNACUUUAACCCGAUGAUGGCGACCGCUGCGAAGAUUACCAUCGCGGAAGUCGAGCACCUGGUGCCCGCGGGCGAGAUCGAUCCCGAUCACAUCCACACCC
rnacentral:misc_RNA from 1 species